GUAGUGGAGGUGGAGGUGAGGGUGACUUAAAGGAGAGAGAGGAGAGAAAGGAGGAGGAAGGAAACGAAGCAGAGAAGC
rnacentral:SRP_RNA from 1 species